rnacentral:rRNA from 1 species
AGCGUAGACGGAUGGACAAGUCUGAUGUGAAAGGCUGGGGCUCAACCCCGGGACUGCAUUGGAAGCUGCCCGUCUUGAGUGCCGGAGAGGUAAGCGGAAUUCCUAGUGUAGCGGUGAAAUGCGUAGAUAUUAGGAGGAACACCAGUGGCGAAGGCGGCUCACUGGACGGUAACUGACGUUGAGGCUCGAAAGCGUGGGGAGCAAACA